UCAGGAGGCUGUAAUGCUUGUUAUCGUAUAUUAACUAGGUCAGAGUUAUACCAGUCUGAUGGUCUGUUUCAGGAGGCUGUAAUGCUUGUUAUCGUAUAUUAACUAGGUCAGAGUUAUACCAGUCUGAUGGUCUGUUUCAGGAGGCUGUAAUGCUUGUUAUCGUAUAUUAACUAGGUCAGAGUUAUACCAGUCUGAUGGUCUGUUUCAGGAGGCUGUAAUGCUUGUUAUCGUAUAUUAACUAGGUCAGAGUUAUACCAGUCUGAUGGUCUGUUUCAGGAGGCUGUAAUGCUUGUUAUCGUAUAUUAACUAGGUCAGAGUUAUACCAGUCUGAUGGUCUGUUUCAGGAGGCUGUAAUGCUUGUUAUCGUAUAUUAACUAGGUCAGAGUUAUACCAGUCUGAUGGUCUGUUUCAGGAGGCUGUAAUGCUUGUUAUCGUAUAUUAACUAGGUCAGAGUUAUACCAGUCUGAUGGUCUGUUUCAGGAGGCUGUAAUGCUUGUUAUCAUAUA